CGGGGGGCUGCACCAGUGAGGAAUUUUGCGCAAUGGGGGAAACCCUGACGCAGCAACGCCGCGUGAGCGAAGAAGGCCCUCGGGUCGUAAAGCUCUGUCAAGUGGGAAAAAAGCCUUUUGAUUAAUACCCAAGAGGUUUGAUGGUACCACUGUAGGAAGCACCGGCUAACUCCGUGCCAGCAGCCGCGGUAAUACGGAGGGUGCAAGCGUUGUUCGGAAUGACUGGGCGUAAAGGGCGUGCAGGCGGUUUGGCAAGUCAGAUGUGAAAGCCCUGGGCUUAACCCGGGAAGUGCAUUUGAAACUGCCUUUCUUGAGUAUGGGAGAGGAGAGUGGAAUUCCCAGUGUAGAGGUGAAAUUCGUAGAUAUUGGGAGGAACACCCGUGGCGAAGGCGACUCUCUGGACCAAUACUGACGCUGAGACGCGAAAGCGUGGGGAGCAAACAGGAUUAGAUACCCCCGUAGUC
rnacentral:rRNA from 1 species